rnacentral:hammerhead_ribozyme from 1 species
GUGCUACUGAGGUGUCUCAAACCAGGACGAAACAGCUGUCCAGUAC